rnacentral:rRNA from 2 species
GGACGGGUGAGUAAUGUCUGGGGAUCUGCCCGAUAGAGGGGGAUAACCACUGGAAACGGUGGCUAAUACCGCAUAACGUCGCAAGACCAAAGAGGGGGACCUUCGGGCCUCUCACUAUCGGAUGAACCCAGAUGGGAUUAGCUAGUAGGCGGGGUAAUGGCCCACCUAGGCGACGAUCCCUAGCUGGUCUGAGAGGAUGACCAGCCACACUGGAACUGAGACACGGUCCAGACUCCUACGGGAGGCAGCAGUGGGGAAUAUUGCACAAUGGGCGCAAGCCUGAUGCAGCCAUGCCGCGUGUAUGAAGAAGGCCUUCGGGUUGUAAAGUACUUUCAGCGGGGAGGAAGGCGACGGGGUUAAUAACCCUGUCGAUUGACGUUACCCGCAGAAGAAGCACCGGCUAACUCCGUGCCAGCAGCCGCGGUAAUACGGAGGGUGCAAGCGUUAAUCGGAAUUACUGGGCGUAAAGCGCACGCAGGCGGUCUGUUAAGUCAGAUGUGAAAUCCCCGGGCUUAACCUGGGAACUGCAUUUGAAACUGGCAGGCUUGAGUCUUGUAGAGGGGGGUAGAAUUCCAGGUGUAGCGGUGAAAUGCGUAGAGAUCUGGAGGAAUACCGGUGGCGAAGGCGGCCCCCUGGACAAAGACUGACGCUCAGGUGCGAAAGCGUGGGAGCAAACAGGAUUAGAUACCCUGGUAGUCCACGCCGUAAACGAUGUCGACUUGGAGGUUGUUCCCUUGAGGAGUGGCUUCCGGAGCUAACGCGUUAAGUCGACCGCCUGGGGAGUACGGCCGCAAGGUUAAAACUCAAAUGAAUUGACGGGGGCCCGCACAAGCGGUGGAGCAUGUGGUUUAAUUCGAUGCAACGCGAAGAACCUUACCUACUCUUGACAUCCACGGAAUUUGGCAGAGAUGCCUUAGUGCCUUCGGGAACCGUGAGACAGGUGCUGCAUGGCUGUCGUCAGCUCGUGUUGUGAAAUGUUGGGUUAAGUCCCGCAACGAGCGCAACCCUUAUCCUUUGUUGCCAGCGAUUCGGUCGGGAACUCAAAGGAGACUGCCGGUGAUAAACCGGAGGAAGGUGGGGAUGACGUCAAGUCAUCAUGGCCCUUACGAGUAGGGCUACACACGUGCUACAAUGGCGCAUACAAAGAGAAGCGACCUCGCGAGAGCAAGCGGACCUCACAAAGUGCGUCGUAGUCCGGAUCGGAGUCUGCAACUCGACUCCGUGAAGUCGGAAUCGCUAGUAAUCGUGGAUCAGAAUGCCACGGUGAAUACGUUCCCGGGCCUUGUACACACCGCCCGUCACACCAUGGGAGUGGGUUGCAAAAGAAGUAGGUAGCUUAACCU